UUAAUGGCAGCAGAUGUAAUGCGUAGCACUCAGAGUAAAGCGGUAUGAAGCUGUCCUUCUCUUCAGAUGCUCUGCUCUAUGUUUUUAAGCCUUGCCGCAAGCCACAGCUCAGUUACAUUCAGACUAUAAAUACAUAUUAAAAUGGACAAAUAUGCUGAAGCACUAGGACCAACUGUCAGCCUGCUGUGCAUGUGUGUUUGUGUGUGUGAGGGGAAAAUGAACACACCCUUGUUGCUCAGGCAGCAGUGCUGGUUGUAAUAACCAAGCGGAACAGAAGGGGAGGGGAAAAAAGAGGAACCUCAUUGCAUGGGUGGUGGAGGAAUUAUAUUUUCAGGGUGUCUGUGCAUCCAUCCGUGUGUCCAUCCAUCUGUCUGUCCAUUUGUCUGUGCUUCCAUCUGAAGAAUGAGUGACCUAACGUUUGUAGGACGUCUAUGGAAUUAUCAUUGUAACCAGCAGUUACAGAACUAAUUAGAUUUUAGAAGUGAUGCAAACAGGGUCAAGGUCACAGCAAGGUCAAAUAAAUCCUGAUGCCCUACCUCUGGAUGGAGUGCUCAUCAACUGAAGGCUACAUUCUGCCACUGAGGACGACCCCAAGCAGUGCAGCCUGGAGACUGCUGAGGAUGGUACCGCUUGAAGUACCAUGGAAAUGGUUUUGGACCUCAAUUCCACAUGGACAUUCUCGCCGUGGUUACUGCUAUGGCCUUAGGUCUAAAAUUACCACAUGCAGUUUUGCACUCCGGUCUCCUUUGGUGAACAGUGGAUUAGUUCAACAAAGACUUCAUGUAAAAACCAUAAUGAACUUUCUUUUACUUUCACACUAUCCGUUGUUACCCAGAUGAGGAUGGGUUCCCUUCUGAGUCUGGUUCCUCUCAAGGUUUCUUCUUCAUAUCAUCUUAGGGAGUUUUUCCUCGCCACCGUCGCCACUGGCUCGCUCAAUAGGGAUAAAUUCACACACUUAAAAUCUGUAUACUGUGUUUAUAUGUUUCUGUAAAGCUGCUUUGAGACAAUGUCCAUUGUUAAAAGGACUGUACAAAUAAAAUUGA